UAGGGAAUCUUCCGCAAUGGGCGAAAGCCUGACGGAGCAACGCCGCGUGAGUGAUGAAGGUCUUCGGAUCGUAAAACUCUGUUAUUAGGGAAGAACAAAUGUGUAAGUAACUAUGCACGUCUUGACGGUACCUAAUCAGAAAGCCACGGCUAACUACGUGCCAGCAGCCGCGGUAAUACGUAGGUGGCAAGCGUUAUCCGGAAUUAUUGGUCGUAAAGCGCGCGUAGGCGGUUUUUUAAGUCUGAUGUGAAAGCCCACGGCUCAACCGUGGAGGGUCAUUGGAAACUGGAAAACUUGAGUGCAGAAGAGGAAAGUGGAAUUCCAUGUGUAGCGGUGAAAUGCGCAGAGAUAUGGAGGAACACCAGUGGCGAAGGCGACUUUCUGGUCUGUAACUGACGCUGAUGUGCGAAAGCGUGGGGAUCAAACAGG
rnacentral:rRNA from 1 species